rnacentral:lncRNA from 1 species
GGCCAGCGCCGGGGCGCUACUUCUAGUGCUUUUUCCAGCGCCGGGGCGCUAGGGGGCAGACUCCAGCGCCGUUGCCCAGCGCUGGGGCGCUGGGGGAAGGGUUUGGUGCGGCCUGGACGCGUUUUGGGCGAAUUUUGACACCUUUUUGACUCCAAAUAGGAUUGGGUUUGUUCCUAAACUAAAAAUUGGACUUGUAACCUAUAAAUACAUGAUGUAAGGCAUAAAAUAAAGGGAGAUUACAUAGCUUAGCCUAGAUUAAACACUCCUUUAGAUUAGAAAAUAACCCUAGUUCUUAUUAGUUUUGGAGAUUGAAGCAACUUGGAGACCAUUGAAGAUCAAGAGCAAGAGCAAGAGGGGAGCAUCAGAUUUGCUGACAACAGAUUCUAUUCUCUUCUCUCAUCUUACUUUUAUCUUUUGAUGUCUAUUCAGUUGUGGAUUCUUGGUUUUAAUUCAUUAAUUAUGAACUAACUAUUUUUGAGAUUUCAAUUGAACUUUUUAUGGCUAUGAAUUAGUUAUUCAUUAUAUUCUAAUUAUUUAUGUUAAAGUGAGUUGUUUAUCUUGUCUUGUGCUUAUUGCUUAAUUAUUUGAUCAGUAAUUACUUUGUUACUCUAGAAGGAAUUGGAAGAGGAAUUCUAGGGUUAGAACUGGGCAUGAUAUCAUGUGACUUAGUUAUUUGCAUGGUGAAAAAUUAGGUUUGUGAAUUGAAUGGAAAUAUCUGUUCGCCGCAUGUAACACGUAAGGAAUUGGGAUUGGAAAGAGUUUAAUUCAAUUGUUUUGCAUAGGAAUAUAGCAAGAUUAAUCUGGAUUAAAUAGAAGGCAAUUGAUCACUUGGAAAAGGACUUUUGGCAUUUGAGAAUUCCUGUUAACAAUUCAGUAGGCAUAAUAAUUGGGAUAAUUGGAUAAUUGAUUUAUAAUUCAUAAUUGGGGAUAUUGAAGUCUUAAUCUUUAUUUAUUUGAAUUCAUUCGUUAAAAUCUUAGUUUUAAUUAGUUAAUUUAGUUUUCUUAAUUAGAAAAAACACGAUUUGAGAUUGUUUAAAUAAAAUUAGUUUGGUUAAGAAUUAGUACUUGGUGAUUUUUAUUAAAUAAUUCCUCGUGGGAACGAUACUCUACUUUCACUUUAUUACUUGUUGACCGUGUAUACUUGCACGUAUUCAUUGAUUGCGAAAUCGAUCAACAAGUUUUUGGCGCCGUUGCCGGGGAAUUAAUUUAAUAAUUAUUUACCAAUAUUAAUUUCAAUCAAAUUAGUCUUAAUUUAAACAUUUUUAUUUUUAUUUUUAAUUCUCUUUCUAUAUUUCUCUCUUUUCAGGUACCAUGGAUGACUUUGUGUAUCAAUGGCCAUACACGAACAUGACUCAACCAAGGGGAGUGGAGAUUGAAAGACUCGAGAAACUUUCUGCAUUGUCAGCACAGAUUGAGACACUUUCGAGGAUGUUUGAAGCUUUUGAAGCUCAGCGUCGUCAAAGUAUGGUGGUUACUUGUGAUUAUUGUGCUGGAAAUCAUAUGAGUCAUCAAUGCACCAUCAGUUUCGAGCCGGUACAGUAUAGUGGUGAUUACCCCAAUAAUUAUGUCUAUCCCAACAACUAUCAUCAGGAUUGGGGGUAUCACCCGGAUUUUUCAUGGAGUAACAAUCAAGAUCAAUUUUAUGCUCCAAGUCCAACAUACCCACAGGAUUUCUUGUGUCCACCUCCACUACAACAGGAAGAACAUUCAAAUUGGGAGGAAGCCUUGGAAAAAUUUAUUAAAGCUUCUGAAAAAAGGAAUGAGGAACAAGACAAGAAAAUGAAUCAAGUAGAGCUGAAUUUGCAAAGCCAAGGGGCGUUGAUCAAGAAUUUGGAAAAUCAAGUGGAACAGAUAGCACAUGCGUUGAACAACCGUCCUCAAUACACCUGGCCCUAUGACAUGGAUUCCGAGCCCGAUGGUGAGCCCGAGCCAAAUCUACAACUGGAUGAGCCACGAGAUGAAAAAGAGGAGACAAGUGGGGAUAAUGACAACAAGGUCGGUGAAGAACUAAUUGUGAGAACCAAUGAUGAUGAGCCAAUGUUAUUUAUGCCUCAAGUGCCUUCUCCUCCACAGUUCAAGAGUCCGGUUAGAUUUGCAAAACCUUGUCCGAUUGGUAGUCAUGUCGUCGGCAAUACUCUCUGUGAUGUAAAAGCAAGUACACCUUCGAAACCAUGGUGCGAUGAGCUGGAGAAGAUAGAAGAAGAAACUGUUGUGUCUGACAAGCUUCAAUACCAGAAUAUAUUCGCAGACACAAUGGAGAAACCACCUAGAUGCUGGACGUUCUUGAAUGUGAUCUUAUCUAAAGAAAGCAUGCUAGGUGACUUUAAUACAAUGGCUAUCGUAAAUGGGAACCUACCAAAAGCUAUAUUAUUUCCGAUGGAUGGAGGGUUCCUCAACUUUCGUAGGGGAAUUGGAUAGAGAAUUGAAGAAGUCAGGCUGAGACUAUAAAACAAGCGCUUAUUGGGAGGCAACCCAAGUUUAAUUUUUAUUUUUAGUUUUUAUUAAGUUUUAUAUUAGUAGUUUUGAAUUUGCAUUUAUUUAGGAUUUAAUAAAAUUGCUUCUAUCAUGGUUUUACAGGUUAUUCAAGUCAAAUUCAAGUGUGGUGCCCAAUUUGUUCCAUGUGCUUAGCCUAUUCUCCAAACUUAGCGGGCAAGGAGGAAGAUUGCUAUAUUUUCAGGGAAGUCCUCUGCUUUAAUUUUUUCUAUUUCAGUCAUUGAGGACAAUGUCUAGUUUAAGUUUGGGGGCAUUUUAGUGUCGUAUUGCAUAUAGUUAGUUAUUUACAUUGUAGUUCGUUAUGUUUUCGGGUUAUUUACAUUUAGUUGUUGCAUUCGUUUUUUUUUUUUUUUUUUUUUUAAAAAAAAAAAUUUAAAAAUCGCAAAAAUAGUAGUUAGUUUACUAUGUUUGUUGCAGUUAGUUUAUAUUUGCAUGAUUCCAACUGUUAGAUAGUAAAAGUCUAUUUUGGCCAAUGAUGAGACUGGAGUUAAGUAGAUAAGUAUAGUAUUGAAUAUUCAGGCUUUGAUGUGAUUUCUUGUUAUGAAUUGAAUCUUUUCCUGUUUGAAACUGGUAUAAUCAAGGUUAGCACGUUAAUAACAGCUAUGUUAACUGAUUAAGUUUAAAUUGAUACAUAAUGGAUUUCUUAAGUAUAAUACUAGUGUGAAGGAAUGAAAGACAUGAAUAGGCGGAGAUGGCUAAAUUUUGAUAAAAACUUAAGUUUGGGGGGAAAUUUUGGGGUAUAUAAGUUUAAAAAAAAAAACAUGUUGAGUCUUGUGGUGGGUUGAGGAGAAACACUCCCCAUAAACACAAGCGUGAGAUGGAGCGUAAAACGCACUCACCAACCAUCUAUAAAAAAAAAAAAAAAAAAAAAAAAAUUACCGUGGCUAGUUUUGUUUCGGGGCCUUUGUUACUUGAGUAAGUACGCCCGAAGGGGUAUCUUAAAACCUAGCGCCCUAAGGUCUUAUAUGGUCUGGGAGUCGUUGGUCGAAAGCUCGCUAAGGGGUGACACUGUUAGCCUAAUGGAAUGAGACAUUGCACAGUUAUGGUUAAAAAAAAAACAAUAAAACGGGAAAAGAGCAAAAAGCCCCCGUAAUGAAAAGUAAAGCAUAAGUAUCCCAGAUUGGACUCUUGAACUUGGUGGAUGUUUGACUUUAGUUGGAUAUAGCUUGUUCGUGAAUUUUGUGAAUUUGCACUGUAUGAUGCCUUCAAAGAUAUCUAUUAUGUCUUAAAUUUGAUUUUAUAUCAGUUAACAUUGUUGUGGAGCACACACGCACUAUAUCAGUGAUAACAGUCUAAGAUUUGAUGAUUGAUUGGGAAAUUACUGAUUUGUUUUAAUAUGAUGUAUUAUCAUGUUUACUUGAUUUCUCUAAGGCCGGUUGAAUAGACUUGUUUCUGUCAUUACUGUUGGAUUCGUAGGCAUAUAGAUUAGUUUCAUUACAUUGCAUUGCAUAACAUUUUUGUGUUUUUGCUUGAGGACAAGCAAAGAUUUAAGUUUGGGGGUAUUUGAUGAGUGAGUUUUAUACCCAUGAAUUGGAUACAUUCGGGCUUAAUUUAUUGUUGUUCUUAAGUCUUUUAGGAUGUUUUUAUGUGUUUGUGUCUAUUCAUGCAUGUUUUAUGUUAUUUUAUAGGAAUUGGGACAAAAGUUACAUGGAUCGAUGUUUGGGGUGGCUAGAUUCGCGUUUUCGGCUUGCCAUUUACACAGCAGUCACUUCAGAGCCAAUUUGACUAUAGCUCCUGACAUUAUUUCGAAAAACUCAAAGAAUGAAAGUUGUAGAUCUACUUCUCCUCUUUCCGGAACAUCUUGAAUCAUCGAAAUCGGAGUUCGGACGAAGAAGUUAUGGCCAUUUUCCCAAAGGACGUCGGAGCAGAAAAUGUCGGAUUUUGGGCCAGCGCCGGGGCGCUACUCUUAGUGCAUUUUCCAGCGCCGGGGCGCUAGGGGGCAGACUCCAGCGCCGUUGCCCAGCGCUGGGGCGCUGGGGGAAGGGUUUGGUGCGGCCUGGACGCGUUUUGGGCGAAUUUUGACACCUUUUUGACUCCAAAUAGGAUUGGGUUUGUUCCUAAACUAAAAAUUGGACUUGUAACCUAUAAAUACAUGAUGUAAGGCAUAAAAUAAAG